rnacentral:sRNA from 1 species
UUCGCUUUGUUAUUUACCUGCAUUAUUUCUGUUAAUGAUUAUUUCUGUUAAUCAUUAACAGAAAUAAUGCAGGUAAAUAACAAAGUGAA